GGCAAACACCAGUAUGUCACAUGCUAAAAUGAAGAGGAGGAGAACCUACAAGGUAAUGCAGAAAAAUUGGUGAGCCAUGGUGAGCAAGAAGGAAAAGACAGUAAUACACGCGUCUAAUACAGCAAGGUGAUGAGGGCCUGACUUCAACUGCCUCCUAAUCUACUAUCGAUUGUACUGCUUCAAGAUUUCUACAAUUAAGGUUUAGACUCCAGACACUGCAUAUAAGCACUACCCUUAUAAGGAAAGCCCCUACCUCAUAUAUCAGAGAUUCAGUUUUGCUGAAGUAUGGCAACUGCCCAAGAAAGUAAAGAUCCCUUUGAUCACAAGCAUCCUGAGCAUCUUUCCAGCACCAGAGAGGCUUCUGAAAACACAAACAAAACAAAUUCAUGAUCAUUACCAUAAGGGAAUCAUGACAUUGUGUGUACUUUCUUCUAUAUUUUCACCGUGGCAAGCGUUUCGUUGAGAGAAUGAAGUGGAAUAUAAUGGAAUGGUUCUACUUU